GGAACGUGCCUUUUGGUUCGGAAUAACUCAGGGAAACCUGUGCUAAUACCGGAUGUGCCCUUCGGAGGAAAGAUUUAUCGCCAUUAGAGCGGCCCGCGUCUGAUUAGCUUGUUGGUGAGGUAAAGGCUCACCAAGGCGACGAUCAGUAGCUGGUCUGAGAGGACGAUCAGCCACACUGGGACUGAGACACGGCCCAGACUCCUACGGGAGGCAGCAGUGGGGAAUCUUGCGCAAUGGGCGAAAGCCUGACGCAGCCAUGCCGCGUGAAUGAUGAAGGUCUUAGGAUUGUAAAAUUCUUUCACCGGGGACGAUAAUGACGGUACCCGGAGAAGAAGCCCCGGCUAACUUCGUGCCAGCAGCCGCGGUAAUACGAAGGGGGCUAGCGUUGCUCGGAAUUACUGGGCGUAAAGGGAGCGUAGGCGGAUAGUUUAGUCAGAGGUGAAAGCCCAGGGCUCAACCUUGGAAUUGCCUUUGAUACUGGCUAUCUUGAGUAUGGGAGAGGUGUGUGGAACUCCGAGUGUAGAGGUGAAAUUCGUAGAUAUUCGGAAGAACACCAGUGGCGAAGGCGACACACUGGCCCAUUACUGACGCUGAGGCUCGAAAGCGUGGGGAGCAAACAGGAUUAGAUA
rnacentral:rRNA from 1 species